CGCAGCCAUGUUGAUGUUGUACGGAAGGAAAGUUCGGAAGAGAGUGUCGUGAAAAGGAGAAUCAUGACUAGAUUUGGAUGGAAUUUCUGUUUUGACAGAAGAUGAAGACAUUUUACGACCAGGUACUGCGUUGCAUGCAGUGGACUGUGCCCGAGACGAUUCCCACAGCGCCGGCGAAUAGUCAGCUUGUAAAAAUGAAAUCGUGCCAGCAAAGUUUGAAGUGUCUAUGGAAAUGAUCAACAUUGAACUUUCUGAACCUUCCUACUUAAAGUGAAUCCGUUCAUGACAUGACCAGUUAUUUGGCUACCCUCCAACAUAACACCAUUGUUUAUUUAUUCAUUAUUGUGAAUUUCAUGGGAUAUCAGUGAGGAAGUGAUUCAAGCAGACACUUGAGAAAUUUCGGAUCUAACUUAAUUAGGAUCUUUGGAAUAUUCGGGGAAAAUAGCAUGUGUUGAUUUCAUGGGAUCUUUUUAUUAGUAUAGUUGUGUAGUGGAUAUUUUGUACUUAAUACAUGUGUUUGUCACUCUAGUCUAGUCAUUAACUUUGUACGGUAAAUGUACAUGGGCAACUGAAAGUUCAUU